rnacentral:rRNA from 1 species
UGGGGAAUAUUGCACAAUGGGCGCAAGCCUGAUGCAGCCAUGCCGCGUGUAUGAAGAAGGCCUUCGGGUUGUAAAGUACUUUCAGCGAGGAGGAAGGCGAUGCGGUUAAUAACCGUGUCGAUUGACGUUACUCGCAGAAGAAGCACCGGCUAACUCCGUGCCAGCAGCCGCGGUAAUACGGAGGGUGCAAGCGUUAAUCGGAAUUAAUGGGCGUAAAGCGCACGCAGGCGGUCUGUCAAGUCGGAUGUGAAAUCCCCGGGCUCAACCUGGGAACUGCAUUCGAAACUGGCAGGCUUGAGUCUUGUAGAGGGGGGUAGAAUUCCAGGUGUAGCGGUGAAAUGCGUAGAGAUCUGGAGGAAUACCGGUGGCGAAGGCGGCCCCCUGGACAAAGACUGACGCUCAGGUGCGAAAGCGUGGGGAGCAAACA